AUGUAUAGGAAAAAACAGUGCAUGUAGGGUUCAGUACUAUGUGGUUUCAGUCAUGCACUGGGGGUCUUGGGGAAUGUAUCCCUGUGGAUAAGGGGGCGCUGCUAUAGGUAUUCUUUUGUAUCUGACUUCUUUCAUGCAACAUCGUGUGUGAGAGAUCCAGGCAGGGUUUUUGCAUAGCUGUACUUGGUUGUUCUUCAUUGCUGUAUAAUAUUCCAUUAUAUGGCUUAUACCGUAAUUUAUGUUUUCAUUCUUUUGUUGAUGGAUUUCAAGUUUGUUUUUUUUUUCUGGUUUGGGACUCUUAUGAAUAAAGUGGCUAUGAAUAUUUUUUGCCCCUGGCUUUGGGUGCAUAGAAGCUCUCAUUCCUGUCAGGCGUCUACCCUGGAGGGGUCCCAGGCCUUUUGGACAUUCUAAGUGAAAACACUUCAAGAUAAGGGAAAAGGGAACUAGUGUGUGGCAGGCAUGAGAAUCUGAGGAGCGGAAAGGAGGGAGCGGGUGCCAGACCACAGCAGCCACGUUCAGAAGAAGAUGUGAAAAGAAGCUGGCCACCUGCCAACAGCAUUUCCCCUUUCAGAAAUGUCAUCUGAUCUUUUUUUUUUUUUUUCCCCUGGCAAAAUGCAUGAGAGAUUCCCUGACCUUGGGAAUUCUCUUCCUCCUCGUCCUGUCGGCUCCUGUCGGCGUCCUGGUCAGUAGACCUCAGGGAUGACCGAGUUUAUGCUUCUCAUUUGACAGAUGAGAAAACUGAUGUCCAGAGAAGUGACUUGCCGGAAGCCUCACAGCUGGUUCUCUUCCCCGAAGUCAGCCAGGGAGAAGUCUCACCGUGUCCUUCUCCAUCACAGGACCGAGCCCUUGAAUCAGCAUUUUGUCAACGCGCCAACUGCCUACGAGCACCUGAGUGACAGAACCUCAUGCAAGGCCGCUCUCCCGGGCUUUGAACGCACUCCGGCCGCACCGACCUCCCCGCUUAGGCUCCAUGCCUAGCCUAAGUCCACCGCUGGGCCUUUGCACUUGCUGUUCAGCCCUGCUCUUCGAGUGGCAUUUCUUCUGCAUCUUUCAGGUCUCGGCUUGAAUGUCACCUCCUCAGAGAGACAUCCUCUGACCUUCCGCCUAGAAACCAGUCUCCCCCGUGUGCUUUCUGCUGUCUUCACAGUCCUUACCACAUGAUCUCACUGGGAUUUAUUUGUUUACGUAUUGUUUCUUCCCUCACAUGAUAAGGCAUUAGAAAGGCAGGAACGAACUGGUCUUGUUGAUUGUCAGUUCCCCAAGUACCAAGCUUAGUACCUACAGGGACAGAUUAGCAGGAAAGUAUAGCAGAGGCUUCAAGAAAAUCAGUGGUGUUCGAUCUUGGCUGUGUGCUUGGAUCACCUUUCAAAGAAUAACUACGGGCCCCACCUCAGACUCAUCGAAUGGGAAUCUCCAGGGGUGGAACCUUCACAUUAGGGUUUUAAAAAAACUCUCCAUGGGUUUUUACCGCACCUGGCCUUCAGGACUAAGACCUAUUUGACUAGCUCAGCGUGUCUGGGGUGGAGCAUCUGUAUUUUUAACCAUUAUCCAGGUGUUUUCUAUGCUCAUUAUAACUUGAGGACCCCUGAACGAGAGCCCUGCUUCCUGUCACAGCUUGGCAUCCUGGGGUCAACAGAGAAGGCUGAUCCCGGCCAGGGGGGACCUGGCCACCUGAGGGUUGGGGCCAUGAAAGUCUCAGCCACUCCUUUCACCAUUCAAGACAGAACUCGAUCCAAGGUCUCUGUCACGAGUCUAGGAAUCUUUAAAAUGGCCUAAGCCCCCUUAGCAGGACCCUGGGUUAAUUACUUGAUAGUCUCAUUUUUCUAUGACAUUCAUGGUGUCUUUCUUCCUGGGAGAGUUUUAAGUGAGUCCUUGACCCUUGCAUUGGCUUGAGAAUUAUUGUUUCUUUCCUUCCAAAUGUGGAGUUCUACAGACAAAUAUAACUUAUUCAACAGAAUAGCUCCUUGGGGGAGAACAAGUUAUUUUGUCUUUAUUCAUCCAGUGGCAUUACCAGUGACGAUCACAUGCCGAAGGCUCCUGAGCCUCGUCUAUAAAAUGGAGGCCAUUUCACUGCCCCACCGGGGCUGAGCUGAGGCUCGAUCGGCCACCUUGCCCGUGUAUUCAUACGGCUGCUGUGACAAAUACCGCAACCUGGCGGCUUAAACAGCACGAACGUAUUAUUUUACGCGUCUGUAGCAUCGAGAGCUGGCCACCGGCCUUGGCUGCUGGCCCCUUCCUCCACCUUCAAAGCCAUCAACGGCGGCCGAGCCUAUUUUUCACAUCACAUCACAUCACUCCGACUUCCCUCCGCGGUCCAUCUCCCUCCCCUCUCUGCGUCUGCCUCCUAGCCUCGCGAUUACUUCGGGCCCACCGGACAAUCCUGAAACAGGAUGAUCUCCCUAUUUAAGCUUGGCAUGCCCAGGGGCCAGGAGGAAGACUGAUUUAUUCUGUAGGAAAAUGAUGAAGGGCAAGUGGCUGGACGAGGGAGUCAGGGCAGGUAUCACAAGGGCCCCUGCCCACCUGAAGCUGGAUCUGUUGGGCCUUAUUCCUGAGUGGUCUGGGCUGGGGCUGCGAGGGAUGGAUCAUCUUGCCAUCUAGUGGCAUCUCCUCAUGGGAGGGGCAUGGCAGGGCAGCCUGCAGCUCUGGGGCACAUCUGACAGCUCAAGAUCCAAAACGAAAGCGAGGGCUGACCUUCCACUCACAACGUGAGCCGUCCAGGCGAAGGGCGUGGAUCCAGCAUCCAAUAAUGCCAUGCUCGACAAUGCGGAAGUCCUGCCUGGGAACAUCUGGCUUCAGAAAUUUUUACUGUAAGCAGCUGGGGGUGGCGGCCAGCCUUAGGUCAGGGAGUACGAGGCCAGCCUCCGCAGACAGCCAUCUGUCCAUGCUAAGAUCCUAGCUCCCACUCAUUAGCUCGGGGCCCCGGGAAUCUAUGUAACUUCUCCAUGCCUCAGUUUCUCCCUCUGCCAGUUGAGGAAAACAAUGCCUGCCUGAGGGAUUCCUGGGGGAUUCGAGCACAAGCACACCCAGCUGCGGUUCUCCACGGGGGAGGGUUUUGCCUCCCCAGGGGACAUUUGGCAACCUCUGGAGACGUUUGUGGGCUGUCGUGCCUGGAGGGGGGCGGGGGUGAUCAUGGCAUCUAGGGGGAGAGGUCAGGGAUGCUGCAGGACAGCCCUGGCUCCCAACAAAGUCUGUCCAGAAUGUCAACGGCGCUGAGGGGGAGACACCCUGCCGUGAGGGACAGGGCGGUGUCCAGGCUAGGCCUGGCCUCUGGGUCCGAUGUCCCUCAAUUCUCAGUUCUGUUCCUGGCGUUUCCGUGAGCCGCUGGGCGCGUGGACUCAAGUUUCUUUCCCUCUCUGAGUAUCGGGGUGAGGGGGGUGCUCCCUGCCCUGGAGUCCGACUGCCCUGCCCCGCCUGCACGUGAGAGGAUGCAUCGUUUGAGAAAGAGGAGCCCCCUUGGGCCACGUUGAAGGAUCCCACGCUGUCCCCCGAGAGCCACCGCACUGGACGCUCUGUUCUCUCACCAGUGCAAGCAUUGUCCCCUCGGGCUGUGCGGCCUGGUGCUGACCCCACCCCUGGCGGACUUGGGACCCUGUCCAAGCCCAGGAGGCUCCACCCUGAGACUUUGCGGGAACAAGAGGCCCUGUCCUGGGGAGCUCUUGCUAAGCUGGGACGUUGCAUAUCUGGUGGUCAUUUUUGCCAACAGCUGGGGACAACCUGUCUGGGAAUGAAGCUGAUACAGAGGAAAGCAAAGCCAUUUCUUUAUUUAAAGAUAAAGAAAAAUGAAGAUCCUGAAAAUAUCGUUCGAUGCUCUGUAUCCAGCCUUGUCCAAACCAGUUGUGGUCUUGGACUGCUGUUUACAAAGAACAAUAAAUCUUUCUAUUUUUAAACCA